GUCUACAGUGUGAGCAGCAAUUCCCGAAGGCAGGGGAGGAGGAAGGAAUAUCUUUGCUCCGGUGUCUUCUAAAUGAUCCUGACAAUGCUGUGUCCAGAGCUGUUUGCGUAACAAAAUGUACUCAAGUGGAUUUUUUACAAAGCGCACUCUGGUUCCUAUGGCAGUAGAUCAACAAAAGGAUAUUCAAUUAAUUCAGGCGAAGGAAUUCCCUCUUGCAGAGGAACUAAUUCAGAAGUGGAGGUAAGAUAAGGGCAGAGAUGUACCAAAGGGAAAUAAAUGGGUUUAUUGUCCUUCAUUCAGAAGAGAGGUAUAGAGGAAUCAACAGCAGCUGCAGCUAAGACAAAAAGAGGAAAGACUGAAUAAAUAGCCCAAAGAAGAUAAGGACAUUACAUGCAUCCUUCAGUCACUUGGACCUGGAAAAGUGACCUGAAAAUACCCUAAACUUCAAUAUUAAUAAACCUCUCCCUCUCUCAAAAUACUAGGAUCAGGGUCCUCCAAGGAAGCUGAGUAUUGGAAGAUUCAGGACAGGACAAGAGGCAGCACAUACUGAAACGGAAUAAUUGGCUGCCACAAGAUGGUGUGGUGGCCACCAACAUGGACAGCUUUAAAAUGGGAUUAGACAAAUUCACAAAGGAUAAGGCUGCCAACAGCUACUCCUCACCAUGGCUAAGUGUCCUUCCCCCAGUAUUGGUGACAGUAUAUUCAUGAAUAACAGUUGCUGAAGAAUUCAAAUAGGGAAAGUGUUGUGCUCAAGUCUUUCUGGUGGGUUUUCCAUAGACAUCAGGUUGGCCACUGACAUAAGAAAUCACAAGACAGAGAAGCCAGUAGGAAAACACUUCACUCUCCCAGGACAUUCAAUACAGGAUCUCAAAGCAGCUGUCUUAUUACAAAACAAUUUCAGAAACAGACUUGAAAAAGAAGUUGCUGAAUUACAACUUAUCACUAAACUGAAAACUAUGGAGAGACAUGGUCUUAAUAGAGAUAUUGGAUUCCUGUCUCAUUAUAUAUGCUAAUCAUCUGCAUACUAUCCCUUGCUUUUUCCUGUAGGACUAAUUGCAGUUAACAGUCAUCAACAGGUUUACCAUACCCAUUGAGUCAAUCACCCAUCUCCUACUACCCUCCUGAGAAACCUCCCCCACCCUCCCACUAUAUAUAAGGGUCUGGUGACUUCUGUUUCGGUGUAUCUGAAGAAGUGUGCAUGCACAUGAAAGCUUAUACCAAGAACAAACUUAGUUGGUCUCUAAGGUGCUACUGGACAGGUUUUUAUUUUAUUUUAUUUAUAUAUUUCGACUUGGUCAGACCAACAUGGCUACCUACCUGAAUCUAGGUUGACCACUGUGAGAAGAGGAUACAAGGGCCUUUGCUUUGAGCCAGCAGGGCUGAUGUACUUAACUUUAAUAAAAUAUAGAGAUCUUCUCAAAACACUUUCUCAAAUGGGUUUCCCAUGUUUUCUGAUCAGUUUGAAAUUGCCGUUAGAACAGCUAGGAGCUUUUCUUUUCCAGCAAGAACCCAGCCACAAAUAUAAAGGGAACAUUCUGAAGCUGAAAGUUUGAAAAGAACACGGGGAAGAUAUUAUUUUACCUGAAUUGUUCGUUUCAUCUCCAACUACAGCUUGUAAAAGCUUAGUAACAGCAGGAUGGUGUUUUCUGAGGAAAACCAAAAACCAACCUUACUUAACCCAUAGUUGCUUAAAAUAUAUCCAACAAUCAAAGACAACUGCCCUCCACUCUUAUUAAGUUAAUGACAACAAAUUAUCUAGUUUAAAUGGCCCAAUGUAGUCAGGUUAACAAUUGACCAAUCUGCUGAUCAAAUCAGAAUGCUGGUUGUUCUAGACAGUGGCUUUGCACCACUUCAGAAUGGAAGAGGGGAAAUUGUGUAAUUGUGUAAAUACUAUGCCUUUGUAAAAUAAAACUCUCCAAGUUGGACCCAAGCUAAGUUAGUUGAACUUAAGUGCACUUAAAAUCAAUGGGGCAAGUUAAUCAUGACAUACUGUAGUUUCCCAAGACGUCAAUGGAAUUUAAGUUAAACUAACAAUUUGGAUCAAUCCUUCUAUAUACAACAUGCCAGGGGAAAGAAUCCAAAACUAGCCUUUUCCACUGGAAUAUGAUUUCUAGCUGCAGGAGAUUUUUUUUACACAUAGAAGCAUUCAAAUAUAUUCCCCCACCAUCUGUAUUUUGAGUUCCAUAAGUGCUGUAUCAUGUGCUGAUUCUGAAUAUGUAAAUCCUUAUCAGAAUCACAGCAUCACCAUCACAGGACUUGAAGAAAUCUCAAGAGCAAAUUAAUUCAAGCUUCUAUGGUGAAACAAUGUUUGCAACAACUUAAGCUAUCUCUCAUUGAUGCUUAACUUCUCAUAAAUGCCAGUCGGUAACUUGAGAACUUUCCUAAGCAAUGUAUUCCAUCACCGUCACCAACAGCAGGCUUUCCAUAGGCCAGUAAUUUCCAGUUCCGGAUAUAUUGUGGAAUCUAUACCUUUUACAGGAUGUUCUAUUUUCCAGUGUAUCUUCUCUGGCUAGAAUUCUAGGACUUCAACUAACCGUGUUAGCUAGGGCUAAUGGGACUUGUAGUCCAAAACUACAAGUUGGGGAAGACUGACUUGUGUCUUUCUCUUUUAAGUGAAGCUUGACGUGAGACAUUACUCCAUCUCAGGCCUAAAGAAUACAAAGCCCCAGUUGUUUGCAGUGUCCUAGACCUAGAUCUUUUGUUGUCUACUAAUAGGACCCAAAAUGCCAGUUGUUUGCAGUGUCAUUUGCAUAUUUGACAUUUUGCAGCAAUGUCAGAUUGCUGACAUAUUUGUGUUCACAAGAUUGACUCUACUCCCAGAGUCUUCUCUGUGCUGCUGUUUAGCUAUUUAUCCCCAAACUAACGCACUUUGAUUUUGUGUGUGGAUGAACCUUAUGUUUUAUUUUCCUAGCCAUUGCUUGUUGGUAGCAAGCAGCCUUGGAAAUUCUCAUGUUUAAGCCUUGGCAUUGCCAUCUAAAACUAUAUUGGGCCUUGUAGAGCCACUGCUAGUUAAAUAGACAUGCUGGGAUAGAUGAUUCUGUGGUCUGACUUAAUACAAAGCUGCGUCAUAUAAUACCCCCAUUUAUCAAGAAGAUCACAGAAUCAUAGAAUUGUAGACUUGGAAUGACCCUUAGGAUCAUCUAGUCCACCCCCUGCAAUACAGGAAUAUGCAGCUGUCCCAUAUGGAGAUCGAACCUGCAACCUUGGCAUUAUCAGCACCACACACUAACUAACUGAGCUAUCCAGUUGGUGGAUUUCAUUUCAGCCUACUAAGCUUGGGAAAGAUUGAGGGCACAAGGAGAAGGGGAUGACAGAGGACGAGAUGGUUGGACAGUGUUCUCGAAGCUACCAGCAUGAGUUUGACCAAACUGCGGGAGGCAGUGGAAGACAGGAGUGCCUGGCGUGCUCUGGUCCAUGGGGUCAUGAAGAGUCGGACACGACUAAACGACUAAACAACAACAACAACAAUCGAUCUGAAUGGUUUCCUUUUUGGUUUCUCAUCAUAGUAUUAAUAUAACUGUUAAAUACCAAAUUUAGGAAAACAUGAAUGAGUUUUAUGGGGAUCAAUAUUAGGGCUUGUUUGCAUGACAAAGAGCUUAAUUUGAAACAUUUUUCUUAAAAUGGUGAUAGUGUUGGGAAGCAUGUAUGUUCGGUUUUUUCCUUUAAUCCUCAUCUUGUCUCUCUGAAGUUUGUCAUUUCCCAAAUGCUUAAGUCCCGUCAAACUACAACAUCCCAGCAGCCCAUCAGUCCACAUAUAUCUGCAUGCAGUGCUUGAUACUUAAAUAACUGAGGGCAAUGUCUUAGCACAUGAGACAAAUCUACAUAGUAUUUGAAAAUGCUGAUGUGUAGAUGCAGAUUUGGGUCUCUAAGCACAUUAAGAUGGUGAGUGGCUGAGGUUUCACUGGCACUGUGCUUUGGAGCAUGCCCAACAUCCCUGUAGAUAAAGGUUUUUUAAAAUACGUUUUAACAAAAUUAAGGAGGAGGGUGAAAGGAGUCUUGGGACCAAUGCAAAAGGCCCUGGACAUGCUUAAAGCCCCUGGGCCAUCUUCUAAUAGUACCCUUAGUAUACAGAGACAUAAUCGUGCAAAUAAGGGCCUGUAGUCAAAUAUAUUGUGCUACGACACCCCUGUGUACUUCUCCAUAUUGGUGCACAUAUGAAGCAUAUCUGGUUAACAGACCACACACUUCUUGUUCUCUCCCUAUGUAAGAGCUUCCACUGAAAGAGGAAGAGCGAGUGAGAAAAUGAGCAUGUACUGUCUGGACAUCUUUUACUUGCAGAAAGGGGAACUUAUGUGUAACUUGCAUAGGAACCUCGGGGGGGGGGAGGUUUCUCUUCACUUGGUAUAUCCAGCCUGAUAACCAUGAAUAGGAUUACCUGAAACAUAUGAGGCAGCCAAGCCUAAUGCUACCUCUAAUGGAAUACAGUGGCAUUAACUUGAGUGAAUUCUUCAUUGAUUCCAUGGUGACAAUGUUGCACAUUGCAUGCAUACACUUGCUUCCAGCAUUUAUCUUUAAAAAAAACAAAAACCAACCUGUACAAAUGAGCUCCAUAUCCCAACAGAUUACAGGGGUGCACCCAGCAUUCCUUUCAUAGUUAAAUUGGGUUGCACGUUUUAACCAAAACUUUCAAAAUGGGAUGCUUAGGAAGUAAAAUGCAUUUUACAUGCUCAUCACUCUGGAAAGCCUGUAGGCAUAUAUGUAUCCUCUCCACCAUGCAUAUAGUGUGUGGUGUGGCUUAUGUGCAUAUGAAUGUAUGCCACACAUCAUAUGCAACAUUGCAUACAUCAAAGUCAAGCAAAUAUGCAUGUCUGACACACAUCUAGUCUCGAGAAUGAUGAGCAUCUGAACUAGCUCUUACCUUCGUGAUGAACGAGAGUGGAAUGUUUUUGCCCUUCAGAAAACCUCUCUAAAGCCAUUGCUAAUAUGGUUUGCAUCCAUUAAAAUUUGUGCAGAUUUACAAUUGCUUAUUCAUUGAGCAUUGAGGCUGACCUUAAGGAAAGAGAGAAAAAUCACACAUGCAACCACAAAACAAAACAAAACAAAAUGCAGCUGGCCUGGUUUAAAGUCAGCCAAAGAGCAGCCUACUUACUUUCUUCCUCACAUCAGUAUAGCAUAGUUCUGGAAAUGACUUUUUUAUACUAUUCAUAGCAGUGUCUAUAUUUGUGUGUUGUGGAAGAAAGUGGAGAUAGAAUGAAAAAAAUAUCCAGUUAUAGUUAUCUAUCCAUAUAAUCAUAAAUCAUAUUUCCUCCAUUGUAACUUAUUCCUCUUGCCUUUAUCCAUUCGCAACACUAUUAAUAACAAUGAUAAUUAUAUAAUCUUCUUUAACUCUAGGAUUCUAUUCAGACUUCAUAAUCUUCACAAACAUCUGUGGAGUAUCCUUAUCUUCUUUGUUAUGGAGUUCCGUUAAGCAAAACAAACCUUGACAAUAUCCAUUUUCCCAUGCUUAAUCUUCUGGCUACUGCUCUGGCUUCCUAGUCCUACUAGGCCUACUAAAUACUGGAGUGUGAAUGAACCUUAUACCUGUGAGACUUUAAAAUAUCCUGCAGAGGAAGAUAACCUCUUAACAAAAUACUUAAUUUUUAUGAAGUGUCAACAACAUGAGAGUCAAGGUUACCUUCUUCCUCUCUCUCCCAGUGUAUCAUCUCCAGAGAGCAGGUAGCAGAUUCUGUGCUGUACUUGACCCUAAGAGUGCCACUGUCAGAGAAGAAAACACUUUUGUUAUUUGGUUAUUUGUUAUGCAAUUAUUAUUUGCUAUUUACGAAGGACAAUUACAUACCACCAUUCUAGCUCAAAAACUGAGCCACUCAAUGUAACUUACAGGACAAAUUAAAAACAAACAUUCCAAAUGGACAAUCUACUGAGGGUGAGUUUACCAGGCAGUGUUUCUUGGUAUGAGAAAAGGGACUUACAAAGGUAUUCUACUCCCUCUUUUCAUAUGAAGAAGCUUAGGAAGGGAUGUAACAGGAAAAGGAAAAGCUUCACGGGUUAGCAAAGCACAAGUUGCAAAGAGUGCCUCUAUUUAGUUUGGAGAGGCUCCUUUAAAAGUAUAUUCAUAUUCGUGCUGAUGUAAUACUUAAAACGGGUGCUUGACAACAUCUACAAAACAUGUCAAAUACUAUGUCCUACAACAUAAUUUCAUUGGGUAUUUCCAGACAACUUGUUUAUUGAGCAGGUUAGGGAAGGUUAGAUGCUACUGCAUCAAAGCCAAUUUUACCCCACAGUUUCCAGUGCAUUUUCCUAUUACUUUUCUUUUUGCAAAAGUCUGAUCUUUGAGGGUAACUGAUUCAUUUCACAAUACCUCCCAAACAAUCGUAACUGCACAACCUAAAUGUGGUGGUAUGUGGCUGAAUCCCACCCCAAAAUAGCAACUGACUGGAAUCCCCUUUUAUGUUUUAAGUGACAUCAAUGGAGGUGGCUAAGAUGCAUCAAGUUAAUAAAAAGCCCACCAGGAGGGAAAAUUAAAUAUGUCACAAAUUUCUGCAUAGUAGAAUGGCAUCCUAUAGAUAGUGAACUUUGUAAGUUGCAUAUUUAACUGCUAUGAUUACAGGAAGGAACUAGCUAAUUCUAAGGUCCAAUUCAUUUGUGCUCUUUGGCUUCUUUUUCACAUUAGUGCACUUAGGUAGUGUUAGAUUCUGGACUUAAUGGUAUUAUGCCACACCCCCUCUUGAGAUGAUAAUGUGUGGAAGGCCACAGCUCAGUGGCAGAGGACCUGCUUUGCCAUGCAGAAGGUCACAGUUCAAACCCCAGCAUUUUCAGGCAGGGCUGGGAAGGUCCCCAGUCUGAAUCCCUGGAAAGCCACUUCCAGUCACUGACCACUACUGAGCCAGAUGGACCAAUGGGCGUCCUAUGUUAUUCAAAAUGGGUUUUUUUGUUAGUUAGUUUGUCUUGUAAACUGCUUAGAGGUUUUCCUAUACUCAAGCAGAAUAUAAAUUUUGUUAGAUAAAAUAAAUAAGACAAAAUGUGGAAAGCCAUAAUAAUAAUAAUAAUAAUAAUAAUUUAUUACUUAUACCCCAGCCAUCUGGCCAGGCCUCCCAAGCCACUCUAGGUGGCUUCCAACAGGAUAUUAGAAACACAAUAACUAAUAAAACAUUAAAAACUUCCCUAAACAGAGCUGCCUUCAGCUGUCUUCUGAAAGUCAGAUAGUUGUUUAUUUCCUUGACAUCUGAUGGGAGGGCGUUCCACAGGGCAGGCGCCACUACCGAGAAGGCCAUCUGCCUGGUUCCCUGUAACCUUACUUCUCACAGUGAGGGAACUGCCAGAAGACCCUGAGAGCUGGACCUCAGUGUCCGGGCAGAAUGAUGGGGGUGGAGACACUCCUUCAGGUACACUGGGCAGAGGCCGUUUAGAGCUUUAAAGGUCAGCACCAACACUUUGAAUUGUGCUCAGGAGCCAAUGUAGGUCUUUUAGGACCGUUGUUAUAUGGUCUCGGCAGCCAUUCCCAGUCACCAGUUCAGCUGCUCCAUGUAGUGUGCAUUGCAGUAGUCCAAGCGGGAGAUAACCAGAGCAUGCACCACUCUGGUGAGAUAGUCUGCGGGUAGGUAGGGUCUCUGGUAGACAGAUGCCCUGGACACAGAAUAGACCUGUGCCUCCAUGGACAGCUGUGAGUCCAAAAUGACUCCAUUUGGGGGCCUUUCUGCUCAUUCUUCAGAGUGGGUGCCCUGGACUUCUUCUUGUGGCACCACUGUUUAUUUGUUUAAGAGCUCAGAGGCUGCUUGUGUGACCAGUGUAAGAUUGGCGGAGGGACCCUGCAGUUCCAGUUCCAUUGGAAGGAGAUAGGGCACUUAUGAUUUCUCAGACACAUUGCAUGCUUAAUUAAAGCAACAGCCAGCCAGUGGGAAUUUUGAUUCCCUAAGGGCACAGUUAAAAACCCCACCCUGUUGCUGGGUCUUUGUGGAUCCACUGCCACACCCACAACCUGACUGCUCAUGCCUGCUGCAACUGAAGGAGGGGAUGAAGAUCAGACCUGAUCCCUGUGCAAAUUCCAGGCUGGCACAAAUAUCAGGUCCAUAUUGGAACUGGAUGCUGUUGCAUGAUAGUAGCGAGAUUGGCUCAGGUUCCAGUGGACUGGUUUGAUCCCACCCUCAGAAUGCCCUAUUGUGGGGCUUUUUGCUGGCCUCCACCAUUGGGCAUACCACCAGUGGGCCUCCUGCCCACCCAUGUUUGGUAGCCAUUAGGGGGAGAUUGCUGCUCAUAGAGCUCAUUCUGAUUGUGGGUGGUAAGAUUUGCCCAGCACAUGGAAACAGGUAAACUGAAAUCACUCUGUUUUAAUAGUUAAGAUUAUAGAUGGUCACCCAACUGCAAUAAGAUACCCACUCUCGUCUCAUCUAUACAUGCACAUGAAUACUCCUUGGUCUUUGGCAGCAUAUAAGGGAUGAAUUUUGGAACACAGGAAAAAGAUUGUACAGAAGCGUCCAAGGGAGGCCUGUACAGGCAUGAGGUGAUGCUGUCUCAUCCUGUGCCAGCUGUGCUCUUAACAAAUCUUGUGCAGUAAAUUAGAGCAACCUUUGGCCUGUUGCAAGUUAUUGUGCUAGGAACUCUCUCAAGGAAACAUCAGUCUGGAAUUUGCAGUGUGGGCCCUGAGAGAUAACAUCCACUUCCUGGGAAAGCACUAGCAUGGAAUAACAAUUAACCCCCGUAUUAAUUAUUGCAUUAUUCUCUUAAUAAUAAUACAUUGGCUGAGUGUUUUAUGAAGCUUAAAUAAUGAGCUGUAAUCAAGAAGAGUAUUAGUUUAUCAUUACUGGGGUGUGUGAGAGAGUUGAGUAUGCAUGCUUGCUUUUCAUAGUUGGUGACAUGCUGUGCUGGAAAGGCUGAGGAAACAGAUUAAUGGACAAGGCGCAGGCUCUCCCUGGUCUGCUAAGGCAUUGCUUUAAGAGAGAGGGUUCAAUAUAAGGUUGUUGCUAAGGCUGCUGAACUAAUCGGGGCUCAACAACAGGAACUGUGCUGCAUAACACUGAAACUAAGCAGGUGUGGACCUGGUCAAUAAACUGGGUGAGAGACUUUUGUGAGCCCCUUGCAACAUACUUCUUUUAAAAGGAGGGACCCCAGCCAAAGUGGCAGAGCACAUGCUUUGCACUUAAAAGGUUCCAGGUUGAAUCCCUGGCAUCUCCAACCAAAAAGGAAUGGGCAGCAGGUGAUAUAAAAGGCCUGGGUCCCUGAAGAGCGGCUUCUCCUCAGGUAAUACCCGGUUAGAUGGACACAUAGUCUGACUUUGUAUGCUUCCUGAUCAAGGAAAACUUGAUACAACUUGCUUCUUCUCUGAAGCCCGUCUCUGCCUGUACCUGGCAGACAGGCCACUGGCAGCAGCACCCACCAGCAGUGGGGUCCGUUGCCAGCUAGCAGGCCAUCCAAGCUGAAUACCAUCACCCUCCAUGCAUGGUGGCUGACCAUGGGCUUCACAAGCCUUCUGUUUCUGCAACCUGGAACAACAAAAGCAAGAGGCUUGUCGGGUCCUACAGGAUCACACUACAAGGCUGGUGGGCUGUGGUCAACUUAAUAAUGCAGGAAUAACAUGUUACUAUAGCAGUUGGAUUUUUUUUUUAAUACCAGAAACCAUUUGUGCCAUGUGGUAUGACAAGUAAGUGACAUUUACACAUCUAGGGGAAAUUCCAAACAUGCUAUGUUAAGGGCUGUCUCUCUGUGUGUGGUUUAGCCAGCCAUCAGUGGGCUUGUAGCUGGAUUGGCAUCAUGACACCAGUGGAGGAGGGAGUAUUUAACCUAUUACCCCUGCACUGUGCUCCUGCUGAAAAUGGCUCUCAAAAUCUGCUGUUUGUCCUAGGAGACAAAAUGGGGGAAGUGGGGAGAGGUUUACAUUUUAAAGUCGCCACCACCUGUGCUCUGGUCCUAACUGGAUUUCUUCCUCUAUUCUAUUUAAUUCUCUCUCCCCCCCACAAAGAUGCAGUUCACAUAUUGUGUAGUUUGGCACUCCAGAGUCCAGUUGCCUACUUAUGUACACUAGUUGCCUCUGGACACAUAUUCAUUGGCCCUCACAAUCAGGGUGGUAGAGGCCUGGAAUGUUAAUGCAUGCAUGGUUUCCUGCAGGAUACAUUUAUGCAGUUGGCCUAAGUGAUCUGCCCUGUGUUGUGAAUAACUUGUACAUUAGGGCCAGCAUAUAACCAACAUGAAUAAUGUGAAUAAGAGAUUAUGAUGCUGUUUUAAACACAGUGUUGGUAGCUAUACCGUGUCAGGGAAAUCAUGAUGCAUGAACACAUUUGUUUUUUCAUUAUGCAGUUACCUUUUGUCCCAGGACAAAACAACAACGCUACAAUAGUGGCAACACAGCGUGAGGUGCAGAUUAAAACAAAAAGGAGGAACAGUGGAUCCCUCCCAUGCUUAUAGGGGACUAGAAGUUGAUAUCAAUGCCAGACUAAUUAAUAUAAAAGAAAACACCAUGAACGUGUGGACCUGGAUGGUAUUUGGGCCAUUCUGCGGCAAAAGUAUAGAAAAACUCUUGAGCAAGGCCCAAAGCAACUGCCUUCAAUGGGUUAACACAGGAUGUAUGUGUAAUUUGGCACACACUAUGUAUAAACAGGAAAGGAGCUGAAAUGGCUGGCUGCACUUCAAGAACAUAUACUCUUCAGUGAAAGAUAUUUCCCUCCAAAGGCUAAUGAGGUAAUCUGAGUCAUGCUGAGUUCCCGCCCAGGCAGAAAUUCCCCUACAUCAUGACCAGCUUGAUUGCAGUGACCAGUGACAUAUUCCCAGGGAAGCAGGAGCUGUUUGUGUGCCAUCAGCUGAUAAGCAAGGGUUAAAUCCUGCUUAGUUCAGCAGCAUUCAGUGCAACCCCUUUCCUGAUUCUGGAAGGGAUUUGCAUCAAAAGUCCUGCUAAAAUGGAGGGGGGUGGAACUUGUUUUAGCAAGUUUUGCCUGCUGCCACUUGUCAAAUUUGGUCCAUGGCGCUGAUCCUGAUAAGGUUGUGGCCCAGGGUGCCAAAAAGAUCCCCCACCUCUGCAUUAUAAUAUUCUAAACCUACGUAUAUAGAGUUUUAUUUGACAGUGGCCCAGAAAGUCUAUCCCAUUCUGGUCACUCAGUGAAAUCUAGAUGGAGUAUCUGCCACCUACGUCCAGGCUAUUUAUAAUAUGAAAAAUUAGUGGAAAUUCUUAUAUACCCAUUGGAAUUUCCCCCCUGCUGUUGCUGACAGGACACACAAUUUUAUUAGUGAAUGAGCCCUCCAUAUAUACAUACACAGCCACACAGAGUGAAAAGCAGGGUUAGCCAGAGUUCCCGGUUGUGUGGAGGAACACCUAUGUGUUCUGCAAGCAUAUGGGGUCCUUUGCACAAAUGCCAAAUGUGUGGCUGACAAGAACAUCAGUGUUGCAGGUGCAUGGCUCUCUCAUGUUCAGUGUGGGUGUUGUCUGAACACUCCUUUACUGAACUACAAUUAGAUUGCAGCAGCUGGACCGCAGCAAGUGCUGUCUUGAAACAUAUGUGGGGAUUGGGAAAGGAUGGGUGUAGCCACUGCCAGUUAGGCAAAUGCAAGAGAUUAAUGAGUGCUUAGGCAGCAAGUUUUCAGAACUUCCCUUUGCUCUAAACUCAAGAACCCUUCUUUGGCUGUGCAGACGGGAUAUCGAAAACCUGCUUGUAGUCUUUUGGGUCGCUGCACAGCUGCCUGCAUGGAAAAGCAACAGAAAGUAGCACAGCCUUGCCAUGUCUGGAAACGGCUGAUAUAUGGAGGACACGUACACAAUAUAAAACCCUCUCAGCCACAUUAAGGUUGCUGGAUAGAUUCCAAGGUUUCAUCUGCUGCUGUGUGUGCUUCUUGAGUGUUUUGGUACUCACAGAAACCUCAGACAGAUGUCAGCGAUAUCUCGCCAAACAGAUAACAAAGCUGGGCAGCCAAGUUAUUUCACGGCUAUAGUGAGAUAUUCUGGCCAAUGCAUUCUUUUUGAGAACCAGACCAAACUGAGCCCUUGGUCAUCUGGCAAACUGCAGAGGGAAUGCUGUAUAGCAUUCUCCCCAGGAGGGUGUGUCCGUGGGACAGGAAGAACAAGGCAAUGGGCAAUUCCCCAGUGCUUCCCCCCACUGAGAUUAUGAGCCCUGCCCUCCAUUCCUCUCCCUCAACAGUCAUUCACAGCUGUUGGUUUUUUUUUAAGUUGAUCAAUUUCCAUAUUUCUUUUUUUGGAAUGGGUUUGGAUAAACCCACUCCAGACAGAUUAGCUAACUGUAUGCUUAGCCUCACUUUCCAGCAUAGCUCAGGGGUCCAAAUACCCUGGAUUAUUUUGGUUUUUUUAAUAAAAAAUCAUGUUGCUGUUUGCUUGUUCUGUACCUCCCAACCAACUUCUCUUUUGGUUUAUAGAAUUACUACUUGUUGUUAACUCAUGAAUAUGCCUCAGAUUUGGGCUUCCUUUUUGUAAAAAAAGAAAAGAAAGAAAAAGGCAGGGAUAGAUUGAAGUGUGAUAUUGAAGUACAUCACAAGCGAAGGAAGGAGGAUGUCCUGCAUAACCAGAGUUCCUUUCCUGAACAGUUUUCACCACAGGACAACUAAGCACAGAAGGAAAGAAAGGAAGGAAGGAAGGAAGGAAGGAAGGAAGGAAGAAAGGAAGAAAGAAAGAAAGAAAGAAAGAAAGAAAGAAAGAAAGAUAGAUUUUGGAUGGGCUGAGAUGAUCCAAGUUCUCUAUUUGUAGCAAGCAUCUAGUGACUCGAAACAGACACUGAAAAAGUUCUGAAGGGGUUAAGAAAUAAAAACCCGGAAGAGGUUGUUAUUGCAGGAAGUUCUUAUAUUUGAUUUUUUUUUCAUGAAUAAUUUUUUAUUAACCGACCAAUCACAUCAAAUCAAACCAAAUUACAUAAAUUCCAAAUUACACAGCCGAAUUUUAAAUUUUUGUUGGGGGUACCCAUAUUUCAAGUUCCGAAGGGAUCCAAUCAACUUCUUGCUUCUUACUGCUGUUUUAAUGUCCACAAAUCUAACCUUAUGAUGUUCACAGUACUAUCCAGUCCUUUCUUAUUAUUUUUCCACAUCUCUUGUUGUUAUUUUCAUAUAUUUUUCCUUUCUCUUUGUGACCUCUGAUAGUCUCCACAAGCUGGUUAGAACAGUUUGUAAUCCUGCGUGGAUAUUUUUUUUUAUCCAGUAGCCAUAUCCAGACGUUUUCCAUAUAACAUCACUUCCAUACAUCAAAACAGUCUUAGCGUCAUUAAUCUUCACCAAUCUGCCUCCUUUCUCAAAACCUCUGAGGAGAUUCACUAGGAAUGCAGUCUGGAAACAAGUCCGUUCUUCCUCCCGGCUAUAAAUCCUUUGACAAGAUGGCGACUCCGAAUUAAUUGCUGCGCCAUUCCCAAAAGCUCUUAUUGCUUCUCGGUCUCCAUAAAGCAUACUUUUGGUUAAAGUUUAUCUCCACACAGACCUUAAUCAUCCUGCUUGGGUCAGUUCAACCGACGAUUCUAAUGAGGAAGGGUUCUUGUAAAUCACAUAGAAGGAAAGUAAAAAAGGUUCCUCCCCCCCCCCCAUUCAGCCCCGUUGUCCACAUACCCAACCUUUGGUGUAUCUUCAUCGUAAAAUAUUCCUGUUUCUCCAGCCCGUCGUCUUCUUUCGCAGAGGUCACUUAAAUUAGCAGACUUCACUCCCCUUCUUCACUUGAAAUAUGUGCAUUUGCUUCUUUUGUAAUUAAUUAUUCCAAAUUGCUGCAACUAGUGCACGAUCAGAGACAGCGUCCAGGAGAGCCGAGGUCCACACGGGGGCAUUCUGCCUAGGGCCCUCACCCCCUUCUUUCGAAUUAGGGGGUGAUUUAUGGGCACAGCAGGCAACGGCAGUGUUCCCCAUUUCCUUGGGGCAACAAGGGAGGCUGCCUACUCCCAUAACAGCCUCUUAAUUACCCCGUGUGGGUCGGAGAGAUGGUAUUGUCGGCCAUCUUCCAAUGCGCCCCCUAGUGGCCCCCUGAAGUUCUUAUAUUUGAAAUAAUAUCCACCCAAAGGAACAUUUUGAUAUUUCCUUGGGAUCAAGGAGCCCAUAUACAGUAUACUGUAUAUGACUAAACACCAACAGCAGUGACAGGAAAGCAACAGCUUUAAAACAAUGCAUUGUUGCACUUGCUAUCUGAUAACUAUUAAGGAGUCUGGGGUCUGGAUGGAAGAUGGUUACGGGGUCAGAAUGAGUGUUUAAUGUUCCUUUAUGGUCAGUGAGCAAGCUGUGCCAGCCACAUCUUUUGUUACUUUUUGGAAAUAACUGAUAAAAGGCCUAGAAUGGCUAGGUCUGACGUAGCUGAAGACUCUCCUAGAAUGUAAGGAAGACAACUCAUCUUCUUACCCAUCCCAACUAAAGGUACAGGCUAGUUGGUAUAGGUGUGUCUGUGAAGUAAACAAUAGAGCUGUGUUUUGUAGAUAGUUGGAAGGGAGAGCUAAGAAUUAGCUGUGAUCUCUAGAAGCAUAUUGAAGUGCUGCUGGAAUGUCUCUUGGGGGAUCUGAUUAAGGGCAGGGGAAUUGUUGUUUGUAGGAGUGCUUACUCCAUGUACAACCAAACUUCACAGAAAUGUCUGUGAAUCUAUGGAUCUCUCAUCCAAAAGGCAGCCAACCACCUUUGACUUUAUUUAAUCAUUUGUCAUUAAGAUUUAUAGCCCAUCUUCCAUUUGAGUUAUCAGAUUGGCUAACUCCUCACUGCUCAGGAAAGUGGGGAGCAUGAAACAAUAUAUUGUUAUUAAGCAGCCGAGUAGUAUUACUUCUACAGCGUAUCAACUGCUAAGCACCAGUAGAGCAUAAAAUGAGUCAUGAAACAGUAGGGAAAAGGGCAGGGAGGGAGAUUCAUUAAUUACAUAGAGGUGGAAAUCAAAGAGGUUAUAAAUCUGUGUGACACUAGUAGUAAAAGUGGGGCAGAAAGUCUAAAAUUGCACAACAUUUCCAAGUGAAACACGGCUCUGCUCUAAUGAACCUGACAGAAUUGGAUGUGGGAUGUCAAUCUAAAAAGAAGGUGCUGCCAAUGAUGUGGGUUAGCCUUUGCCAACCUUGUACCCUCCAGCUCUUUUGGACUACAACUCUUAUCGGCUGCAGACAGCACUGGAGUUGUGGCUCAAAAUACCUGGAGGGCACCAGGUUGGUGAAGGAUGAUGGAGGUAGACCUUCUGUGUCAAUGAAUGACAGUAGAACCCAUGCCAGCCCUCGCACACAGAUAGGGAAAGCUGCUGUGGACAACCAUGAGUGCCAAAAUAUAUUUCUGCCCAAAUUCCAUGCCAAGAUAGUGUAACCAGGUCCAGCAGGUCAUGCGGCACAAUGGCAGAAUGCCUCCAAACCAAAGUUUCUUGGGCACCAUGGAUAAAAGUCAACCAUUACAAGGUGCCAAUGUGGAAUCCUUCUUUCUCCAAGAAAGACAGAUUCAAAGAUGGUGAGAAAAUUUAGCCAAGAGAGGAAUAGGCCUUAACAAUUCUGGCAAAACACAUACUCUCUUUUAAUCACUACUUGACACAACACACAAUAGCACUCAGAGGUAAUUAGGAAAGUGGCGUUGGGCGCUUGCACAUCAAGGCUUCUCUUUCUUUGCAUCUGCCCUGCAGCCAUCCAGGCACUCCCAAAAUCUGCUUUUGAGGGUUGGGAGACCCUUUGGAGCAGAUUUGGGGGGUAUCCUGGAGGGGAGGGGGAGAAGAAAAACCAGAAUCCCUGGUUGCUGAAAUGGAUUUCCAUUGCACCAGCAGGAAGAAAUAAUUAAUCCCAAAGCUGAGUAUAUAAAACUAUUUAUGAUAUGCAAUUUAUAUGACAAAAACACAAAAAGAUAUUCACAGUCUUAAACAAUCAGUUAAAUAGAAUACAAUAGAUAAACAGGCUCAAGCAUGACUUGUUCUGAAAGCACAAGUUUCUCCCUGUGUGUCUGCUGUACAUGGUUCCCAUGUCACUCCUACCAUGUUUAGAUUUGUUCACCCAAAAUAUGAUGCGUUGCCCGUAUCUCAGGUUGAAAUCACCCCGUUGGCCUAUGGCUUUUCUGUUUACUGACACAGUACAGUUAAAGCAGAGAACCCACGGCUCCAUGAUUUACUUUAGAGAUGUCUGUUAAUCCAUCCACCAACCCCCCACCCCGCCCCUUCUCCUUGGUUUACUACAGUCUCUUCCAGCUCGUGAUAGCAGCAUGGCCUCUGAGUGACCCCAGAUUAAUGUAAAUAUUUGGCUUUCAUUGGAAGGAAAUGUGACAUACAUUUGGGAUGGAAGCUAUCCAGAGGCUGCAGGCUUUGGAGGCAGCCUUGUGGGAAAGCAGGUUCUGUGGUGGCCUCUGCAAAGUAUUUCGCUGCUGAGUGUUUCAGAAUUCUCGUCCCCCCUCCCCUUUACUGCAGCAAAGAGCAGCUUUCAGGCUACAGCAGCUUGACUUUCAAGUGCUAAAUGAGCUGUUUUUCCAGGGGGCAGCCAAAUAAUUCUCCAUAUGUUGGCCAGACACAAGAGACUGGAGGGCUCUUUGCUGGGCGUAGUGUGCACCAGGGAAAAUAGCUUCAGAAAGAGAUAGCAUCUCUGGCUGCUGUUGCCGGGGAAACUGAAGAUGCACUCACAUGAACAAAGGCAAAUGUCCUCCGACAUUCCUGAAGGGAUUAUUCAAGAAGCACAUGGCUUCAAUACUGCCUCCUCACUGCUUGAGGGAAUCCAGGCAGUUCAGGCAGCACCAAUAAAAGAUAAGCAGCACGAAAGGAAGUACCUGUCCAGGGCUUUGGUGCUACCACAACUAGUUGAGUCUCAUGGUUGCUAAGCCUCCUCAUCUGCUCUGACCAACCACAGUCAGACUACAAGUUGAUUGUGGGUGAUGGAGAUGGGGACUGAGCCUCUGCUUCAAAAUGCCUCUGUGCGCAGGAGCACUCAUUCCUCCUUUUCUCAUCCAAGUGGAUUGUGUUCAGUAACGUCAUAGGAGACUCUCCUGUGCUUUGUUGGCACAGCUCAGUGGCAGAGCAUCUGCUCUGUAUGCCGAAAGUCCUAGGCUCUGGGAAAAACUCCUGUCUGAAACCCAGUAGAGCUUCUGCCAGUCAGUGUAGACAGCAGUAAGCUAGAUGGACCAGUGGUCUGACUCUGUAUAAGGCAGCUUCCUAUGGGCUGUAUCCAAUACUGCUGUUCCAGUUGUGCAACAAGCAUGUUUGCACAGUGUAACUUCUAUCUCUUCCCCCCUUCCCCUUAGUAUUCCCUCAAAUCUGCUCCAGAGGACGGGAGGACCCUAUGGAACCGAUUUUGGAGAUGUACGGGGAGAGGAGAGGAAGAGGAAGUUUCUAUUGUGUGAGAGGAAUGCUGGGUGCAACCCUUCAUUCCUAACCCAUUUCAUAUGCACCUUCCUGGACCCUGAGAUCAUCUUCUUAGGCCCUCUUUCAUGUGCCUCAUCCUCGAGAGAUCCAGAGGGUGGCAACACAAGAACGGGCCUUCUCUGCAGUGGCUCCCUGUCUGUGGAAUGCUCUCCCCAGGGAAGUUUGCCUGGCGCCUUCAUUACACACCUUUAGGCGCCAGGCAAAAACAUUCCUUUUUAACCAGGCUUUUGGUUGACCUGAUCGACAUCCUAUACCCUUUUAAAAUGUGGCUCUUUUUUUGGGGGGGGGUAUUAUUGGGUUAUUGUUUUUAUUUUUAUUUUAUAUAUUGUGAUCUUUCUUGUGAACCUGAGACCUCCAGGUAAAGCACGAUAUAUAAAUUCAAACAAACAAACAAAUCCUUCUGCAUACUCCACUUUUUAAAGUCAUAAUAUCCGUUGCUAACCCAUUACUUACUGCCCACACCAGUAGGUGGAGUUUGAAGGAAGGUAUCUGAGUUAUGUUUUUCUGCCCCCUCCCUUCCCUCCCAAUAAUAACUUAUUUCUCACACUGCGUUACCUGUUCAUGUUCUGCACAGAUAUUUCUAUACCUCUGUGUACCUUUAUUGGGGGCUGGGGGAAUCCCAGCAAUUGUGCAAGUGCAAAUUUCACCAGUCUUAUCUAGCCAGUUCUGUUUCGCAGUGGGCAAAAUGGCGUGUGAGAGAUCCAUUUCUUUAGUUUAUUUUUUAAUAAUGAGGUAUUGCAUAAGAGUGCACAAGUGAUACAGUGGUCUUGUGCAAGACCUCCAUAUUAACUUUAAACAAAACAAAACAAAAAGCCUGACCUGUGUAAUUGCGAUUACAGUCUUCCACAUAACCUCCCACAUUUCCUGUAGAGAUCUUGAGAGAAUAUCUCAUUCAAACUGAGCAUGUAGCAAUCAGUGGAAAGAGACAAAAUGGUUAUGUUGUGCUCACAUAAGGAGCAAGCAGAAAUAGAAUCAUAGUUGGAAGGAACCCAAGGGUCAUCUAGUCCAACCCAGCAAUGCAAGGGCAAUAGAAAAAAUCCACUGAAAUGUCACAACAUAUGACAAACUGCCUAGUCCGAAAAAUGCAAUAAUGAGUUUCCACACCAGCAAUGACUGCAGAUACAUAAUGGGUUCCUGGAUUUUCUGUGGAAAGUGGGAAAAAUCAGAUUAAUUGUAAAAAAACAACAACAAAAAAAAACAAAACUUAUGGGCUUCAUUUUGAUAACAGCACAUGUGGAUGCUACAAAAAACUUGUCAGUGGAAACAGCACUGAUUCCACAAUAAACUGUUUGGAGGUUCCUUUUUAUGGUUAUCUUUCAGUAAAAAAGCUGAGCUAAACAUACUCAAGAUGGAAACACAUAUGAAUCAAUGCUCAACAGGUGGUUAAAAGACAUACAUUUUCUGCUGAAGUAAUUGUGAUUUUUUUCUGACAAUGCAAGUGGGAAAUGGUUUAAAUACCCUUUGACUGUGUACAAGAAGAGGCAGAUGUGACAUUCAAAGCCAGACCUAAAUUUAGAGUACUGGUUUUUUCUUUUCCAGGGCUUAUGCUAUUUAACAAAGGGAAGGUGAUGGUGUUCAGGGAUAUCUGGGAGUCAUGCCCUCUGUUCCGUAUAACCUAAUCCCAGAUAUAUGCUGCUAUCUUUGUGGUGACUCAGUCAUGAGAAAAGUGUACAGGCACGUGGACCAACACAAGAUUUCACUGAGUUUUUACAUUAAAAACAGGUUGCAAGCCUUGCUGAUCUUUGUCCCAAAGUAAGCCUUCACGCAAAAGGGAUGUGGGUGGUGCUGUGGCCUAAACCACAGAGUCUAGGGCUUGCUGAUCAGAAGGUCGGCGGUUCAAAUCCCUGCGAUGGGGUUAGCUCCCGUUGUUCGGUCCCUGCUCCUGCAAAUCGAGCGUUUCGAAAGCACGUCAAAGUGCAAGUAGAUAAAUAGGUACCGCUCUGGCAGGAAGGUAAACGGCAUUUCCGUGCGCUGCUCUGGUUCGCCAGAAGCGGCUUAGUCAUGCUGGCCACAUGACCCGGAAGCUGUAUGCCAGCUCCCUCGGCCAAUAAAGCGAGAUGAGUGCCGCAACCCCAGAGUCAGCCACGACUGGACCUAACGGUCAGGGGUCCCUUUACCUUUACCUUUAAGCCUUCACGCAGGUACAGGAAAAGGCUACGCUGUUUUUAAGUAAUGCAAGUCACGAUAGCAACCUGUGCAUAGUCAAGUGAGAAUAUUCACAUUAUGUUAUAUAUGGGCCAUCGCUUCAUUAGCUAACUACGAGUAUAAAAAUGUUUCAAGCAGACAUGUUUGAGGGGCGUGAAGCCCUGUAGUACCCCCUGAGAAAGAAAUGUUGCCCCAGAAAUGCAUUUAAUGUUCAAUCUGCAAGGAGUUAGAGCUUCACAAACCAUGGACUAACAAAAGCUAGGCUAGACUUGGCAAGAGGUGUUUGUACAAGGACAGCUGGAAAAUAUCCUCCUUCUUUUUCUGUUUAUCAACAGGAUAUUGAUGCUUGAAGACUGCUCCUUGUGAAGACUCCUUUUCCUUGACAGAAUAAUAAGCAAACAAGUCUUAGCCUGCUGCCUGUAGGGAAAUGGGUUUUGUUAUGGAAGGAGAGCGCCCUGCGCUAAAACAACAAACAGAAGAAUGG
rnacentral:lncRNA from 1 species